CCCGCCCACCAAGCAUCAUGGAUUGAACACAAAGCUGGAAUGCCUUGAGACAAUACACAGUGCACAGAUCAUUGGCUGAUCAGGAUGUCAAUCAAAGGAGUGUGCAUUCCCAGAAAAGACAGAAGAACAAGAAACAGACUUCUCUUCAUAGAGCCACUUGGUAACAGCAUCACAAUAGCAAUCAUGUGUUAAUGCACAGUAAGAGAUGCUAACUUCCCUGUGAUAAUACACACACGUGUCUGGAUGUCUUCACCUAUAGCAUAGAUGCUGAUCUUUGUGCCUUAAAAAACCCAGCUGCAACAACAACAACAAACAAUGGUGAAUGUAGCUUUCCUCAAGUGUUUUGGGGUCUUUCGACAACAAUUCUUGUUUGUGGCUGCUUUCGUGGCAAUUCACCACACAAAAAAAAUGAUCCACACAUGGACUCCUGCAUUAAGUGCCACAUGUCGAGUUUGGGCCCAGUGCAGUUAACAUACCAUGACUCAGGGAGCUCAGGGACUGUAAUGUCACUUCACUUUACCAGUUAAAGCUGUCCUCGAUCCUGGUGAAAGGUUGCUUAUAAAGACCGUACCUUUAAGAUGCUCAUCCCAGUGAAAGGUUGCUUUUAAAGACUGUACCUUUAAGGUGCUCAUCCCAGUGAAAGGUGGCUUUUAAAGACUGUACCUUUAAGAUGCUCAUCCCGGUGAAAGGUUGCUUAUUAAAGACUGUGCCUCUAAGGUGCUCAUUCCAUGGCAACAGUGCUGUCCCACUGGACAUCGCACACCUAUGAUGUCACAUGAUGAGUUUAUGAGAACAGGUUGACCAACACCAUCCACUUUGGGCCUCCGUGUACCCUAAUCUGGUAUGGGCCAGCACCACAUCUGACCUAAAACCCCUACUCAGGGUUGAUUAGAAGUUGAUGGUAAUAUGUACCUACAGCUAUGAGAGAACGCACAAAAUGAGGAAGCAACACCAAUGCACUGCCACUCAAUACAAACACAGACCACUAAUUUCUGUCGUGCGCUGAGGAAAGGACACCUUUCUACCUACAGUUGGACAAACAUUUACCAUGGUCGUACACAUUCUACUACA
ensembl:lncRNA